rnacentral:rRNA from 1 species
GUUGUAUGGUUAAGUGACUAAGCGUACACGGUGGAUGCCUUGGCAGUCAGAGGCGAUGAAAGACGUAGUAACUUGCGAUAAGCCCAGAUUAGGUAGUAACAACCAUUUGAGUCUGGGAUUUCUGAAUGGGGAAACCCACGUGCAUAAGCACGUAUCCUUACCUGAAUACAUAGGGUAAGGAGGCGAACCGGGGGAACUGAAACAUCUAAGUACCCCGAGGAAAAGAAAUCAACCGAGAUUCCGAAAGUAGCGGCGAGCGAAAUUGGACUAGCCCUUAAGCUUUACACGCGUUAGACGAACGGUCUGGAAAGUCCGACGAUACAGGGUGAUAGUCCCGUAGUUGACGACGUGUGUUCAGUGAAAUCGAGUAGGGCGGGACACGUGAUAUCCUGUCUGAAUAUGGGGGGACCAUCCUCCAAGGCUAAAUACUACUGACUGACCGAUAGUGAACCAGUACCGUGAGGGAAAGGCGAAAAGAACCCCUGUGAGGGGAGUGAAAUAGAACCUGAAACCGUGUACGUACAAGCAGUAGGAGCAGGCUUUGUCCUGUGACUGCGUACCUUUUGUAUAAUGGGUCAGCGACUUAUAUUCAGUGGCAAGGUUAACCAUCUAGGGGAGCCGUAGGGAAACCGAGUCUUAACUGGGCGUUCAGUCUCUGGAUAUAGACCCGAAACCAGGUGAUCUAGCCAUGGGCAGGUUGAAGGUUGAGUAACAUCAACUGGAGGACCGAACCGACUAAUGUUGAAAAAUUAGCGGAUGACUUGUGGCUAGGGGUGAAAGGCCAAUCAAACCUGGAGAUAGCUGGUUCUCCCCGAAAGCUAUUUAGGUAGCGCCUCGGACGAAUACUACUGGGGGUAGAGCACUGUUAAGGCUAGGGGGUCAUCCCGACUUACCAACCCUUUGCAAACUCCGAAUACCAGUAAGUACUAUCCGGGAGACACACGGCGGGUGCUAACGUCCGUCGUGGAGAGGGAAACAACCCAGACCGCCAGCUAAGGUCCCAAAUUACUACUAAGUGGGAAACGAUGUGGGAAGGCUCAGACAGCCAGGAUGUUGGCUUAGAAGCAGCCAUCAUUUAAAGAAAGCGUAAUAGCUCACUGGUCGAGUCGGCCUGCGCGGAAGAUGUAACGGGGCUAAGUAGUAAACCGAAGCUGCGGCAAUGUGCUUUUGCACAUUGGGUAGGGGAGCGUUCUGUAAGCGGUUGAAGGUGUGUGGUAACGCAUGCUGGACGUAUCAGAAGUGCGAAUGCUGACAUGAGUAACGAUAAAGGGGGUGAAAAACCUCCUCGCCGGAAGACCAAGGGUUCCUGUCCAACGUUAAUCGGGGCAGGGUAAGUCGACCCCUAAGGCGAGGCCGAAAGGCGUAGUCGAUGGGAAACGGGUUAAUAUUCCCGUACUUCUUACAAUUGCGAUGGGGGGACGGAGAAGGCUAGGUGGGCCUGGCGACGGUUGUCCAGGUUCAAGUGCGUAGGCUUAAGAGUUAGGUAAAUCCGGCUCUUUUUAAGGCUGAGACACGACGUCGAGCACCUACGGGUGUGAAGUCAUUGAUGCCAUGCUUCCAGGAAAAGCCUCUAAGCUUCAGAUUGUAAGGAAUCGUACCCCAAACCGACACAGGUGGUCGGGUAGAGAAUACCAAGGCGCUUGAGAGAACUCGGGUGAAGGAACUAGGCAAAAUGGUACCGUAACUUCGGGAGAAGGUACGCUCUUGAUGGUGAAGUCCCUCGCGGAUGGAGCUGACGAGAGUCGCAGAUACCAGGUGGCUGCAACUGUUUAUUAAAAACACAGCACUGUGCAAAAUCGUAAGAUGACGUAUACGGUGUGACGCCUGCCCGGUGCCGGAAGGUUAAUUGAUGGGGUUAGACUUCGGUCGAAGCUCUUGAUCGAAGCCCCGGUAAACGGCGGCCGUAACUAUAACGGUCCUAAGGUAGCGAAAUUCCUUGUCGGGUAAGUUCCGACCUGCACGAAUGGCGUAAUGAUGGCCACGCUGUCUCCACCCGAGACUCAGUGAAAUUGAAAUCGCUGUGAAGAUGCAGUGUACCCGCGGCUAGACGGAAAGACCCCGUGAACCUUUACUACAGCUUGGCACUGAACAUUGACCCUACAUGUGUAGGAUAGGUGGGAGGCUUUGAAGCACGUACGCCAGUAUGUGUGGAGCCGUCCUUGAAAUACCACCCUUGUAGUGUUGAUGUUCUAACGUCGACCCCUUAUCGGGGUUGCGGACAGUGCCUGGUGGGUAGUUUGACUGGGGCGGUCUCCUCCCAAAGAGUAACGGAGGAGCACGAAGGUGGGCUAAUCACGGUUGGACAUCGUGAGGUUAGUGCAAUGGCAUAAGCCCGCUUGACUGCGAGAAUGACAAUUCGAGCAGGUGCGAAAGCAGGUCAUAGUGAUCCGGUGGUUCUGAAUGGAAGGGCCAUCGCUCAACGGAUAAAAGGUACUCCGGGGAUAACAGGCUGAUACCGCCCAAGAGUUCAUAUCGACGGCGGUGUUUGGCACCUCGAUGUCGGCUCAUCACAUCCUGGGGCUGAAGUCGGUCCCAAGGGUAUGGCUGUUCGCCAUUUAAAGUGGUACGCGAGCUGGGUUUAGAACGUCGUGAGACAGUUCGGUCCCUAUCUGCCGUGGGCGUUGGAAGAUUGAAGGGGGCUGCUCCUAGUACGAGAGGACCGGAGUGGACGAACCUCUGGUGUUCGGGUUGUGUCGCCAGACGCAUUGCCCGGUAGCUAAGUUCGGAAUCGAUAACCGCUGAAAGCAUCUAAGCGGGAAGCGAGCCCUGAGAUGAGUCUUCCCUGAUACUUUAAGUAUCCUAAAGGGUUGUCGGAGACUACGACGUUGAUAGGUCAGGUGUGUAAGUGCUGUGAGGCAUUGAGCUAACUGAUACUAAUUGCCCGUGAGGCUUAACCAUACAACACCCAAGGGGUUU